GUGGGGAAUAUUGCACAAUGGGCGCAAGCCUGAUGCAGCAACGCCGCGUGAGGGAUGACGGCCUUCGGGUUGUAAACCUCUUUUAGUAGGGAAGAAGCGUAAGUGACGGUACCUGCAGAAAAAGCACCGGCUAACUACGUGCCAGCAGCCGCGGUAAUACGUAGGGUGCAAGCGUUGUCCGGAAUUAUUGGGCGUAAAGAGCUCGUAGGCGGCUUGUCGCGUCUGCCGUGAAAACCCAGGGCUCAACUCUGGGCGUGCGGUGGGUACGGGCAGGCUAGAGUGCGGUAGGGGAGAUUGGAAUUCCUGGUGUAGCGGUGGAAUGCGCAGAUAUCAGGAGGAACACCGAUGGCGAAGGCAGAUCUCUGGGCCGUAACUGACGCUGAGGAGCGAAAGCAUGGGGAGCGAACAGGAUUAGAUACCCUAGUAGUCC
rnacentral:rRNA from 1 species